rnacentral:hammerhead_ribozyme from 1 species
GCACUGCUGAGGAGUUCCACAAUAGGACGAAACGAUCGCCCAGUGC